AGUGAACGCUGGCGGUAGGCCUAACACAUGCAAGUCGAACGGCAGCACAGUAAGAGCUUGCUCUUACGGGUGGCGAGUGGCGGACGGGUGAGGAAUACAUCGGAAUCUACUUUUUCGUGGGGGAUAACGUAGGGAAACUUACGCUAAUACCGCAUACGACCUACGGUUGAAAGCAGGGGAUCUUCGUACCUUGCGCGAUUGAAUGAGCCGAUGUCGGAUUAGCUAGUUGGCGGGGUAAAGGCCCACCAAGGCGACGCUCCGUAGCUGGUCUGAGAGGAUGAUCAGCCACACUGGAACUGAGACACGGUCCAGACUCCUACGGGAGGCAGCAGUGGGGAAUAUUGGACAAUGGGCGCAAGCCUGAUCCAGCCAUACCGCGUGGGUGAAGAAGGCCUUCGGGUUGUAAAGCCCUUUUGUUGGGAAAGAAAAGCAGCAGGUUAAUACCCCGCUGUUCUGACGGUACCCAAAGAAUAAGCACCGGCUAACUUCGUG
rnacentral:rRNA from 1 species